rnacentral:rRNA from 1 species
GACGAACGCUGGCGGCGUGCCUAAUACAUGCAAGUAGAACGCACAGUUUAUACCGUAGCUUGCUACACCAUAAACUGUGAGUUGCGAACGGGUGAGUAACGCGUAGGUAACCUGCCUGGUAGCGGGGGAUAACUAUUGGAAACGAUAGCUAAUACCGCAUAAUAUUGAUUAUUGCAUGAUAAUUGAUUGAAAGAUGCUAUUGCAACACUACCAGAUGGACCUGCGUUGUAUUAGCUAGUAGGUGAGGUAACGGCUCACCUAGGCGACGAUACAUAGCCGACCUGAGAGGGUGAUCGGCCACACUGGGACUGAGACACGGCCCAGACUCCUACGGGAGGCAGCAGUAGGGAAUCUUCGGCAAUGGACGAAAGUCUGACCGAGCAACGCCGCGUGAGUGAAGAAGGUUUUCGGAUCGUAAAGCUCUGUUGUAAGAGAAGAACGGGUGUGAGAGUGGAAAGUUCACACUGUGACGGUAUCUUACCAGAAAGGGACGGCUAACUACGUG